rnacentral:rRNA from 1 species
CCCUAGUAUAAAAUAAUAUAAGAAAUUAGUAUGUUAGAAAUUUAAAAUUUUUGGCGGUUAAUUAAUAAUUAGAGGAGCUUGUUCAUAAUAGAAUUUACUCUUUAUAUUUUAUAAAUUAUUAGCUUAUUUAUCUCCGUUAUAAUGGUUCUAAAAUCAAGUAUAAAUUACUAAUAUUUUAGGUCAAGAUAUAGCUUAUUAAUUUUUAGAAAUUAGCUACAUUUAUAAAGUAACGAAUGAUGCCAAGAAAAGAAUCUAUAAGUUGAAUUUAACUGUAAAAAUUUUUAUAAUGAAAAUUUGAAAAAAUAUAAUUAAUGUU